rnacentral:rRNA from 1 species
GACGAACGCUGGCGGCGUGCUUAACACAUGCACGUCGAGCGGAGCGGCGCACGGGUGAGUAACGCGUGAGUAACUGACCCCCUCUCUGGGAGAACAGUUGGGAACGGAGGCUAAUACAGGCUAGGGUGGGUUGACUCGCGUCAUAUCAGCUUGUUGGUGGGGUAGUGGCCUACCAAGGCGACGAAGGGUAGCCGGACUGAGAGGGCGACCGGCCACAGUGGGCUGAGAUAGGGCCGAAACGCCUACGGGAGGCAGCAGUGGAGAAUAUUGCACAAUGGGGGAAACCCUGAUGCAGCAAUCCUGGUGCGGGAGGACGGCUUUCGGGUUGUAAACCGAGGUCAGCCAUGACGCGGUAGUGGCAGAAGAAGCACCGGCUAACUACGUGCCAGCAGCCGCGGUAAUUC